GGCGAAUAACAAGCGUUGGCUGUUCUUAACCAACCCACCAACCUUUGAAAACGCGCUAUCGAUUUCAAUUCAGCUCCCGACGGGAAUCCUUGAGAAAACAUAUAUUAAGGCGAUGCCCCUUAAUUCAUAAGAAGAGCUGAUCACGUCCUUUAAGGCAGUUGAAGAAGGAAGCAGAAGGUUGAGCACUUUAAACGACAUGGCACUUUCAAGCUCAAGAAAAAUGAACGCGUUUGUAAUUUUUGCGUUCUUAACAGUUGCAUUUCUCACGGAUCACUCACAUGGAAUCAUGGGAUGGUUUGGAAACGGAGGAAAGCGACCAGAGGGCCGAAGGUCUUUUAUAACGCCAGAGGAACGUUGGAACCUAGCGGAGUACGAGCGUGCUCUUAAUCGCCAUCAUCAUGAUGUUGAUAGACAACAUGUACUUCCUAGACUGGAGAGGCAUCAUCGCCACCCUCUUUCAGUCCUCAGAGAAAAAUCAACUAAAAAUACUGGACUGUAAGCAUCUGUUCUGGGAGGAGUGAGUUUAACUACUUAAGUUACAAUCCAAGCGGACAGCUUUAAGGAAAACAAAAGGAACUGAAAAAAAUCUGAAGUCAAACGCAAUGAUGGCAGUGGCUCAUAUAUCGACGCGAUAAAAGCUUUAUUUCCAAGUUAAAUGAUUAACGAUAAAUGCGCGCAAAGGAGGCCGGUAAUAUUAACACCAGAAUUUAAAUACAUUAUAGCUGUUAGUUUGAGCUUUAUAAAUUGAACUGUUUUUGACAGUAGCAGAAAUUAAUUGUUACGUUACAUUGAUUAAAUGAUAGGCAGUAAAAGUCUGUUCUGCAGUACAAUUCUUAUAUUCAGACCCUGAGAGCUUUGUGUUUAGUGGAACAAGAGCCCCUAUAACCCGGCCUUUACACCCUAACAUUAGUAUGCAGAUUCUCCUUACUGUUCUAGGGGUAACCAGGGAAAUUUGUUUAACGAGCAAGUGGUUGUUUAGUUGGUGAUCAUUUCCCUUAUUCUUGGGACCGUAAUGUGUGAUUAAAGAGUGAUAUUGUGAGGAAAAAUUACAUGCUAGUCACUCUUAGGAGUCAAAGAGGUAUUAAUUUCCAUCCAUUUCUAAUUGCCCUCUCUACUUCACGGUACAGUGAUGUUGUAAGGAGAAGCUACUUUUCAGCACUCCUAUGAAUGGAAGGGUAAACAUGAUGCCUUGGUUCUAUUUUUUGACUGUAAUACAACAGCUCUUCUAAGCUAGAGAGUCACUUUCCAUAAAUAGCUCAAUUUAAUGCAUCACUAAACGAUUAAAUAAAAUUGAAAUGCUGCUGCUAA